rnacentral:ncRNA from 2 species
UUUGCAGCUGUCCGACAAGGUGAAGUUAACCACUUCCAAGAGGGAAUGCCGUGAAAAUCAGCAACAGUACCCGCUGCUGUAAUUCUCGUAGAGCUGAAACAAUAUGCCACUACAAAACCAUUUGCGGGAAGGCGUUUUAAGGGAGAGAUAAGUCAGAAAACCUGCCUGGAAGGACAGCCAAGU